ACAAAAGAUUUCCAAAAUCUCAUCAAAUCUAGGCAAAAAUCUAUACAAGAUUUACAUAGAUCUACAAAAGAUCUUACAAAAUCUUAACAACUAAACUCUAUAAAUGAGGGUGUUGCACCCAGGUUACUUUCAUUCACAACAAACACAUACAAAAAAAAGAGGUCUCUCCCUCUCUCUCGCAGAACAACACACAAAACAAAUAUGGAGAAGCAGGUCCCCAAAUCCAUUCCCUCAUCUCCUCUCUCAAGCUCAACUGACAACUCAAAUACCCCCCCCCCCCUCUUCUCCUUCGUGAAUCGGAGACACACACAACUCCCACCUCCCUGUCUCUGCUCUCUGUCAUCUCCGGUGACCGGAGGUACAACGGCCGACGCUCCGGCAACGUGUCAACCACACGCUCCGGCGACACACUCCCACAUCUCGAUACCCUGAAGAACGAGGAGAGAAGAUAGCACGAAGAGAGAGAGAAGACGGAGAGGACGGCAGAACCGGCGUCGAACGCCGACGAGGUGCGGCGGUGGUGGUUGUCGCUUGUUCUCCGACGAAAGCUCCGGACGGCGGAGCCGUCGGGUUACCGGCUGACGGUAAGGCAGCAGCGGUGGUUUAUCUCGGGCUUCGGUCCAGUGAUGGUUCAGCUUCAUGGCUGGUUCGAGUGACACAAAGGGAAAGUCGGGUGUUUUGUUCGAGUUGUUUUGGAACAGUUUGGUUCGGGUCGUGGUUCGAGCACAUCUGAAGGUACGGGAUCAGAUUCAAGAUUAUUUUCGUUUGGAUUUUCAUCUCGGUUCAGGUUCAAGUGAAGGUGUUACAGAUUCGGGUUAUGUUUGUUUCGGUCAACGGAGUCAACCCGGUCAAACUCAGCGGGUCAACUCAGGAAGUCAACUCAGCCGGUCAACCCGGCUGACUCUGGUCAACUCAGUCAAGCAACACGAAGUUUCGACACGAAGAGUGGUAAAAGUUAACGACGCGUUUAGUAUUUAUGUUUUUAUAUAGUUUAGUCGUACGUGACAAACGAGCUCAAACCGGUUGAAUUAUACUUUACGUUUAAUAUAUAUUUGACAAAUUACAUGUA